rnacentral:lncRNA from 1 species
CAAUACUCAAAUCCAUCCUAACCUAAAAAUCUAUACACGCAAUACAUAUGCACACGAUAAAAACAGAAGAAAAGGGCCUGGAAAUGGGGAGGGCAACAGCGCAGCUGCGCAGAACAAAGACCCCACCCCACUUCGUCUUCUUCUCCGGCAACAACCCACACCAGCUCCCUCGAAGACCACCAUCCUGCUCACCUCCAAACGACCCCUGAACCUCUGCGACCAGCCCUUCUCCAAAUAGCCAGCGACCACCAGCUGCUAUUUUUAGUCCAAACGAGCGCAGCUGGGCUUCUUCUUGACAAAGCUCGCUGAUACAUACACAUAUACGCUGAUACACACACCUAUACAUGCAUAUAUAUAGAACACGAUACACGCCUGGAAAAUUAAAAAAGGGGGCGUAGCUGAGGAGCUGAAGGACAGACACCCCCCCCCCCCCCNN